UACGUAGGUGGCAAGCGUUGUUCGGAAUUAUUGGGCGUAAAGAGCUCGUAGGCGGUCUGUCGCGUCUGCUGUGAAAACUCGGGGCUUAACCCCGGGCCUGCAGUGGGUACGGGCAGACUAGAGUGCGGUAGGGGAGACUGGAAUUCCUGGUGUAGCGGUGAAAUGCGCAGAUAUCAGGAGGAACACCGGUGGCGAAGGCGGGUCUCUGGGCCGUAACUGACGCUGAGGAGCGAAAGCAUGGGGAGCGAACAGG
rnacentral:rRNA from 1 species